GGACGAACGCUGGCGGCGUGCCUAAUACAUGCAAGUCGAGCGGACUUUCAAGAAGCUUGCUUUUUGAAAGUUAGCGGCGGACGGGUGAGUAACACGUGGGCAACCUGCCUGCAAGACGGGGAUAACUCCGGGAAACCGGGGCUAAUACCGGAUAAUAUCUUCCUUCGCAUGAAGGAAGGUUGAAAGGCGGCGCAAGCUGCCGCUUGCAGAUGGGCCCGCGGCGCAUUAGCUAGUUGGUGAGGUAACGGCUCACCAAGGCGACGAUGCGUAGCCGACCUGAGAGGGUGAUCGGCCACACUGGGACUGAGACACGGCCCAGACUCCUACGGGAGGCAGCAGUAGGGAAUCUUCCGCAAUGGACGAAAGUCUGACGGAGCAACGCCGCGUGAGCGAAGAAGGGCUUCGGAUCGUAAAGCUCUGUUGUCAGGGAAGAACAAGUACCGUUCGAACAGGGCGGUACCUUGACGGUACCUGACCAGAAAGCCACGGCUAACUACGUG
rnacentral:rRNA from 1 species